rnacentral:rRNA from 1 species
GUGAGGUAACGGCUCACCAAGGCAUCGACGGGUAGCUGGUCUGAGAGGACGAUCAGCCACACUGGGACUGAGACACGGCCCAGACUCCUACGGGAGGCAGCAGUAGGGAAUCUUGCGCAAUGGGCGAAAGCCUGGCGCAGCAACGCCGCGUGGGGGAUGAAGGCCUUCGGGUCGUAAACCCCUUUCAGCAGGGACGAAAAUGACGGUACCUGCAGAAGAAGGUCCGGCCAACUACGUGCCAGCAGCCGCGGUAAUACGUAGGGACCAAGCGUUGUCCGGAAUUAUUGGGCGUAAAGAGCUCGUAGGCGGUUCGGUAAGUCGGGUGUGAAAAUCCAGGGCUCAACCCUGGGACGCCACCCGAUACUGCUGUGACUAGAGUCCGGUAGAGGAGCGUGGAAUUCCUGGUGUAGCGGUGAAAUGCGCAAAUAUCGGGAGGAACACCAGUAGCGAAGGCGGCUCUCUGGGCAGUAACUGACGCUGAGGAGCGAAAGCGUGGGGAGCGAACAGGAUUAGAUACCCUGGUAGUCCACGCCGUAAACGGUGGGUACUAGGUGUGGGUUUCCUUCCUUGGGAUCCGUGCCGUAGCUAACGCAUUAAGUA